rnacentral:rRNA from 1 species
CCAGACUCCUACGGGAGGCAGCAGUGAGGAAUAUUGGUCAAUGGCCGAGAGGCUGAACCAGCCAAGUCGCGUGAGGGAUGACGGUCCUAUGGAUUGUAAACCUCUUUUGUCAGGGAGCAAAGGGCGCCACGUGUGGCGCUUUGCGAGUACCUGAAGAAAGAGCAUCGGCUAAUUCCGUGCCAGCAGCCGCGGUAAUACGGAGGAUGCGAGCGUUAUCCGGAUUCAUUGGGUUUAAAGGGUGCGUAGGUUGUUUUAUAAGUUAGCGGUGAAAUACCGAUGCUCAACAUCGGGGCUGCCGCUAAUACUGUAGGACUAGAGAUCGGAUGCAGCAGGCGGAAUGUAUAGUGUAGCGGUGAAAUGCAUAGAUAUUACACAGAACACCGAUUGCGAAGGCAGCUUGCUAGGCCGGAUCUGACACUGAUGCACGAAAGCGUGGGGAUCGAACAGGAUUAGAUACCCGCGUA